GAUGAAGAACGCAGCGAAAUGCGAUACUUGGUGUGAAUUGCAGAAUCCCGCGAAUCAUCGAGUUUUUGAACGCAAGUUGCGCCCGAAGCCAUUCGGCCGAGGGCACGUCUGCCUGGGUGUCACGCAUCGUUGCCCCCCCAAACUCCGGUUCGGGCGGGGCGGAAGUUGGCCUCCCGUGCGUGCCUGCGCGCGCGGUUAGCCCAAAAGCGAGUCCUCGGUGACGAGCGCCACGACAAUCGGUGGUUUUUUUACCCUCGUUCCUCGUCGUGCGUGCCCCGUCGCCCGAACGCGCUCUUGCGACCCUUACGCGUCGCCUCGGCGGCGCUCCCAACGCGACCCCAGGUCAGGCGGGACUACCCGCUGAGUUUAAGCAUAUCAAUAAGCGGAGGA
rnacentral:misc_RNA from 1 species